UACAGAGGGUGCAAGCGUUAAUCGGAAUUACUGGGCGUAAAGCGUGCGUAGACGGUUAUAUAAGUCGGAUGUGAAAGCCCCGGGCUCAACCUGGGAAUUGCAUUCGAGACUGCAUAGCUAGGGUGCGGAAGAGGGAAGCGGAAUUUCGGGUGUAGCGGUGAAAUGCGUAGAUAUCCGAAGGAACAUCAGUGGCGAAAGCGGCUUCCUGGUCCAGCACCGACGUUCAGGCACGAAAGCGUGGGGAGCAAACAGG
rnacentral:rRNA from 1 species